rnacentral:rRNA from 1 species
CGCGUAGGCGGCCAGACAGGUCGGGUGUGAAAUCCCUUGGCUCAACCAAGGAAUUGCGCUUGAAACCGUUUGGCUAGAGUGCAGGAGAGGAGGGCGGAAUUCCUGGUGUAGCGGUGAAAUGCGUAGAUAUCAGGAAGAACACCGGUGGCGAAGGCGGCUCUCUGGACUGUAACUGACGCUGAGGCGCGAAAGCGUGGGGAGCGAACG